AUGACCCUAUCAUGUUGGAUCACCAGUUCUUGUUGGAUCACCAAAGUUAAGCAAUAUCAAGCCUGGUCAGUACCUAGAUGGGCAACUGCUUGGGAAUACCAGGUGCUGUAA